GGGGCCGUAGUCCAACGGCAGGAGACCGCGGCUUUAGGUGCCGUACAGUGCGGGUUCGAAUCCCGCCGGCCCCACAA
rnacentral:tRNA from 1 species